UACGUAGGGGGCUAGCGUUGUCCGGAUUUAUUGGGCGUAAAGAGCGUGUAGGCGGCCAGGUAGGUCCGUUGUGAAAGCUGGAGGCUUAACCUCCAGCUGUCGAUGGAAACCAUCUGGCUAGAGUCCGGAAGAGGAGAGUGGAAUUCUCGGUGUAGCAGUGAAAUGCGUAGAUAUCGAGAGGAACACCAGUGGCGAAGGCGAGUCCCUGGACAACUUCUGACGCUGAGGCACGAAAGCGUGGGGAGCAAACAGG
rnacentral:rRNA from 1 species